UCCCGUGUGGCUCAGUUGGUAGAGCAUGGCAACGCUAGGGUUGUGGGUUCGAUUCCCACACGGGGA
rnacentral:tRNA from 1 species